GUUUGAAGUAGAUAAACCAUAAGCCAUUUUCUAUUGCUUAUUUUUAAUGUAAAACUGUGUUUGUUUGUUUGUUUUGCCUUUUCUGAGGACAUCUUGCUGAUGUGUCUCCUGUGCUCUAGCAUGGGGUCCAAGAGACACUGGCCCUACUGGAGAAGCCCAGCUGCUCCCAGCCCCCAGCUGCUCCAGCCCUCACUUCAGCUCUUCCUUUCCACUCCUUCCUGGUGCAGUUUUGAUUCUGUUCUCUACAACUUUCCCUCUUUCAAUAUUCCUGCUUGAAUAUUUUCCGAGAGAGAGAGAGAGAGAGAGAGAGAGAGAGAGGGAGAGAGAGAGAGAGAGAGAGAGAGAGAGAGAGAGAGAGAGAGAGAAUCUCAUGCAGCUCAGGCUGGCCUCAGUGUCACUGUGUAGCUGAAGCUGUUUUUGAACUCCUGACCCUGUUUCCAUCUCUCAUGUUCUAGGUUUGCCAGCAUGGUCCUUUUACCUACAGGUGUUUAAUUUCUUCAGUACCAUUUGUUGAAAACUCUUUGUAGUGCAUCAAUUUUACUUCUUUUGUUUUUGUUUUUAUUCAAGACAGGGUUUCUCUGUGUAGCCCUGACUGUCCUAGAACUAGCUCUGUAGACCAGGCUGGCCUCGAACUCAGAGAGAUCUGCUUGCCUCUGCCUCCAGAGUGCUGGGAUCAAAGGCAUGCCCCACCACCUCUUGACUUAGUUUACAUUUUUAUCAAAAAUUAUUUAGGAGCUGCAAGAUGGCUCAGUGAGUCAAAGUGUUUGCUGCUGAGCCCGGUAACUUCUGACCUCUGACACAGCACAGUGGCAUGCAUGCACCCCUACACACAGGUGAGUGGGUGAGCACACACACACAGACACACACACACCACAAUAAAAAAAACCCCAAAUGCUAAAGAUUUAUUUGGGACAUACCGCAUUGGCCUGUGUCUGGAUUUUUAUUUUUUUAUUCUGCCCUGUGCCUAUUCCUUGGCCAAUGUCACACAUCUUCAUUUCUGUAGCUAUAUGUCUUAAAAUUGGGCCAAUUGCUUUCCAAACUCUUUAUUCUUUUCAAGAUAGUUUUUGCUAUUCCAAUCCCUUGCUCUCAGCCUGUGUUUGCAAAGAUGGUGAUGAGUUUGAAGAGUGUCCCAUCUUUACUGUGCUAACUUGUCUAGCACACAAACAACACGCGUCUUCAUUCAUUUGCCAUUUAUUUAUUGAUUAGACUUACUAAUUUUAUUUUGUGUAUGAGUAGUUUUUGCCUGCAUGCAGGUGCAGGGCCCGUAGAGGUCAGAAGAGGCCGGCAAUGAUCUGGAACUAGAGUUGUGAGCCACCAUGUGGGUGCUGGAACUGAACCCAGGUCCUGUGGAAGAGCAGCCAGUGAUCUUAGACACUGAGUCUUCUCUUCAGUCUCCUUGACUUUUUAGUUAGUGUGUAGUUUUCACCAUAUACUAUUGUAGGUUCUCUGUUAGACCUACACCUAAAUAUUUAUUUUUUGGAAUUGGUUGACAAAAACAACCAAACUGUGUCAGUAUGAUUUCCUGUAUUUUCCUCCUUGGUGCUGGAGAAUGAAGCCAGGAUCCUGGUGAUUGUGGCCCUUCUACUCCUGGGCUACAUCCAUGGUCCCCUUGGCUACUUUAUUUGAUUUACAUUUUGAAGCAGGGUUUCACUAAGUCGACCUCAGUGGCCUUGAGCUCAUUUUGCAGUCCGGGCUGGUCUUGAACUUGGGAUCUUCCUGCCCCAGUUUCCUGAGUAGCUGGACUCACAGGUCAGUGCCACCAGGUCAGGUACUCAGCAGUCUUCUCCCCAAGAGGACCCCACUUUCCUCUGCGGGCUGACGGACAGCACCUCAUCUUUCCUCCCCAAUAGAAGGCUGUGGAGGGGGCUCUGUUGCAAGGGCCUGUUCUGAUGGGGAGGCCAUCACAGCGGAAAGGCACCGUGUGUUCAUGACUGGUGUACAGAAUUACACUUUAUUUUUUAUGUGUAUCUGCCGUCAUGUAACCUGAUGAAUUUUCACUAAAUCCAGUUUGUGAGUAAAUUCCUUGGGACUUUUGUAUAGAUAAUUAUGUCAUCUGAAAGCGGAAACAACUCUAUUUCCAUUUGCAUUUAUGUGUUUUUUAAAAGCUAGGGUUCUCUAGAGGAACCCAACUAAUAGAAUAUAAUAUGACCAUAAGGGGGGUCUUCUUAGGUUUGUCCACACCCCAGAGGCUCCACACAGCUGUCUGCAAGGCGGAGAGUGGGGGAAGCCAGUACCUGCUCUGUCUAGGAAGCUGCAGCGGCCAGGAAUGCUGCCCCCUUCAGGCUGAGGGCUGGAAGCUCUCUGGAAAGUCUCCGGUUUGAGCCCAGGCUCAAAGGCUGGAGAAGUUGGACCCUGACGUCCACGAGGUUGCCAGCUUCUUCGUUUUUAUUUUCAUCAUUGUCCCUGACGUGUGUGGUGACGUCAUGCUUAGGUGAGUCAGCUGAGAGAAGUCUGGACCAUUACGUCGUGACCAGGACCCAUCUAGAACACUGGGUAACCAUGGAGCAGCACCUGACACUGAGUGGAAACUUACUCGGGCUCAGCUGAGAGGCACGGAGCUUGCCUAGAGAAGACAUGGGUUUCACCCCCAGUGAUACAAAUAAAGCCACAAAAUACAAAUAAACUUAAGUCAACUGAAAACAGACAAACAAAAAUCAACAAAACCAGAAAAUGUCCAAAAACCUGAACCCGAGUCCCACUGUGCCUCCCAACAGUCUGUUUGCUUUGGGGCUGCAAUGCUGUACUCAGCGCGAGGGAAAUUCGAUAAAAUUUUCACCUUUCUCCCUGACCUUAAUUAGCCCUGCAGAAUAUGAGUGUAAAUAUAAUAAUAAUAGAUGUAUGUAGAAUAUAACGGUAUGUAAAAGUUGGCAUGCUCAUGACAUAUCUUCACAGCACCAGAACACGGACUGAGACAGAGGUAACUCCUGUUAGCUUCUACAUCUUACCCAAGUGCUUACCCCCCCCACACCACUGUGUGAUAUUUGUUGAAAAACAUCGAAAUCCUUUAUUUACCUGGAGUAUGCUGCACAGAAUUCAAAUUGAUUUAAAAAAAUGGAACUGACUGCAAUUCAAUUCUUGUUUUUUUUUUUUUUUUCCCUUAAGUUAGAGCCUCAUGUUUUUAAGGAAAUGGGAAUAAAAUGCCAUUACCC
rnacentral:lncRNA from 1 species